UGAACGCUGGCGGCAGGCUUAACACAUGCAAGUCGAGCGGGGAAGGGUAGCUUGCUACCUAACCUAGCGGCGGACGGGUGAGUAAUGCUUAGGAAUCUGCCAUUUAGUGGGGGACAACAUUCCGAAAGGAAUGCUAAUACCGCAUACGUCCUACGGGAGAAAGCAGGGGAUCUUCGGACCUUGCGCUAAAUGAUGAGCCUAAGUCGGAUUAGCUAGUUGGUGGGGUAAAGGCCUACCAAGGCGACGAUCUGUAGCGGGUCUGAGAGGAUGAUCCGCCACACUGGGACUGAGACACGGCCCAGACUCCUACGGGAGGCAGCAGUGGGGAAUAUUGGACAAUGGGCGGAAGCCUGAUCCAGCCAUGCCGCGUGUGUGAAGAAGGCCUUAUGGUUGUAAAGCACUUUAAGCGAGGAGGAGGCUACCUAGAUUAAUACUCUAGGAUAGUGGACGUUACUCGCAGAAUAAGCACCGGCUAACUCUGUGCCAGCAGCCGCGGUAAUACAGAGGGUGCGAGCGUUAAUCGGAUUUACUGGGCGUAAAGCGUGCGUAGGCGGCUUUUUAAGUCGGAUGUGAAAUCCCCGAGCUUAACUUGGGAAUUGCAUUCGAUACUGGGAAGCUAGAGUAUGGGAGAGGAUGGUAGAAUUCCAGGUGUAGCGGUGAAAUGCGUA
rnacentral:rRNA from 2 species